rnacentral:rRNA from 1 species
GGUUGCGAUCAUACCAGCACUAAUGCACCGGAUCCCAUCAGAACUCCGCAGUUAAGCGUGCUUGGACGAGAGUAGUACUAGGAUGGGUGACCCCCUGGAAGUCCUCGUGUUGCAACCCC